AUGGGCCAAAAACGGGAUAAUGGGCCAACGGGCCCAAAUUGGUAAGAAAACGCGGAAAUCCCCAACCAUAGUGGGCUUGGAGCUGUGAGGAAAUUCGGAGUGGCCAUCCGUUCUGAAAGUUUGAUUUUCUUCUGGUGAACUGGACAUCCUUUUAUUUACGUUUGAGGUUUUGGGUUUUUAAAUGUAAUAAGGCCACUUAAUUAUUUUUGAUGGUUUUAAUAUGUAUUACUAAGAUAGGUAUUACUUA